rnacentral:rRNA from 1 species
AACGAACGCUGGCGGCAUGCCUAACACAUGCAAGUCGAACGAGACCUUCGGGUCUAGUGGCGCACGGGUGCGUAACGCGUGGGAACCUGCCCUUAGGUUCGGAAUAACUCCCCGAAAGGGGUGCUAAUACCGGAUAAUGUCUUCGGACCAAAGAUUUAUCGCCUUUGGAUGGGCCCGCGUUGGAUUAGCUAGUUGGUAGGGUAAAAGCCUACCAAGGCGACGAUCCAUAGCUGGUCUGAGAGGAUGAUCAGCCACACUGGGACUGAGACACGGCCCAGACCUCUACCGGAGGGAGGCGGUGGGAAUAUUGGACAAUGGGCGAAAGCCUGAUCCAGCAAUGCCGCGUGAGUGAUGAAGGCCUUAGGGUUGUAAAGCUCUUUUACCCGGGAUGAUAAUGACAGUACCGGGAGAAUAAGCUCCGGCUAACUCCGUG